AGCAGGAAGCAAGAGACCCUGGGGCAUAGCUUGCAUUUUUGAAACCGCAAAGUCCAACCCCAGUACUACACACUUCCUCCAACAAGGCCACACCCGUAGUCCUUUCAAACCGUAUUCAAACCACCACACCUGCUGACUCUUCUGCUCCCCCAGACCCUCCAUGUAAACAAACAAACAAACAAACAAAAGACCUGGAUCGAACUAUCUGGAGGCAAACAGCAACAAGGAGGCUUUGUCGGAGAGUCCUUCUGGCAUCUGGUGCAGUCUGCAGGCAAAAAGUUUGAUGGACUUUGGGACAGGGAGCAAGGAGAGCACCUCCGAACUGGAUGGAGGUGAAGGAUGUCUACAGCCUUAAGACAGAGAUGAGAGGUCUCUGCAAAGAAUAACAGGUCUGUGGAGAAGUGAGGGUCCAGACAGAAUUCCCAGCAAGGGGCAGCUUAGUGAGCAGUAACAAGCUCUCAGCAGAAGCAGCCGUGGAACUUCUCACAAGGAAGCCAAAUCGUGCUCUUACGCACUCUAAGGCAAGGUCAGAGAAAACAGGCAUGUCCUGCUAUUGAGGGCCUGUGUUGCAAACCCCGGUCCCAUCAUCACUUGGAAGUUUUGGGCUGAUCCCCAACAUGGUAUGUUCCAAACAGACUUUGUAUUAGGCCCUGACCAGGAACCUGCACAGAGAUCUUUAAUCAGGAGCAGAGACCCAUUAUUUCUCAUGCAGAGGGUUAAGGGCUCAGACUGAGAAAUGCUUCAACUCUAAAACCAAACACCCCAGUGUGCAAUUACUCACAUUUGUGAGUCACACUAGAAUAACACCCACACCUGCUAUCCAUGUUUAAAUGUUUAAAAAUGCAAGUUGCUGCUGCAGAAUUAUUGCUCACGCCUUGGGCUCUCGUCAAGCCAUGCAGCUGUGGCAAAUAUUUGGAUGAGGUGUGUAAGAGGAGGUUAGAUACGUUCCCAUCCCUUACCUCUGAGAUGGAUUCACUGGAGCUAUGACAGAAC